rnacentral:lncRNA from 1 species
CCCCACGAGAAAAACGCCUACAUGGGGGGAAGUGACUCUGAUGACGGAGGGCGCCAGUGUGCAUGCACUGACCUGAGUGUGUGCACACAGACGAUGCCACCCCACAGGGCCACCCCCCCCCCAGGGCACCUGGAACGCCUGGCUUCACUCUGGGGGUUCUGGAUCGGGGUGUCACCAUGCAGACCCCAGCUGGUUCCUUCCCUCCAGGCAAGGUGAGAUCUGCUACCUCGCUCUCAGAGCCCAGAACAGCGCUCAGCGAUGACGCAGGCCCAAGGCUCCCGAGGUGGAGUCCACGAUGGUGGCCGGCACGUGGUGACCCUGGGCCCACAGGGACCUGGGGAAUGACUCACGCUGCUCCCACACAGGAGAUGAUCAAGUGGGAGGUGCAGGGCCUCCGGCAGAGGAGGGCAUUGAUGGAAAGAUCACGGAACCUGCCCCACCCCCACGCGCUCAGGACACCUGGCUGACUCUCCAGAAACCAGCGCAUUCCUGAGACAUGGGGCUACCUCCACAGCAGUGCCGAGACUCCACCUCUGUCCCUGUUGGGCGGAGCCCAGGCUACACCUCGCUGCACCGGACUUGUGAAAGAGCUGAGGAAGUAUCUCCCGGGGGCGGGCGGAGGGGCGGGUCCUGGUGGUGGGUGAUGUGUGGUGGAUGUGACACCAACCCCUGCACAUUUGCAAGGUCCCCUCCCAGUCCUGCUGGGGCCAGGCCCCUGGGGAGGAAUGAGAUCAACAGGUGCGCAGAUCCCGCUCUGGGGUGACCGGGCUGCAGCAGAGACGGGAGUUAUUCACCUUUCACUCAUCCUCAUGAAAACAGAUAGGCCUGCUCCCAGAGAGGCGCUUCCUGGGUGCAGCCCCUGCCACACUGUGCAGCGGACUCCUGCGCCCAGAACGGGGCCAGCAGGAGCAGGUGCAGACCCACAGGGACACUGGCAAAUAAGACCCUGGAGGCUGUGACGUGACUCUCUCCAGGGCACUCACAAAGCACUGGCAGUAACCACCCAGGCGUUUGCAGAUCUGAGUGGUGGGAAGCCUGCACCGAUGUCCCUCGGCUUUGCAGAGCUUGGCUUGUCGGCAAAACCAGCCAAGAUGGAGAGCAGGGCCGGCGAACCCAGAGGACCAAUCUUUCCUUCCUGACCAGCCUCUGCAGGCUUCCCUCGCCAGCCCAGUGCCAACAGACCGGAAGCCGAGCCUCAAAAAUCCCAAGCAACAUGGCCUAAAGAAGCUAAUGACGUGGUGCGGAAUCGCUUUGCUAACAGACGUGGCGCUUGGCCGGGCCACGUCUUUCCUGGGCCUCUCAGCCCCCUGGGGUCCCCAUGGCUGGUGGUCUCACUCUGCUAAGCUUCCCCUGGAGGGUCUGGGAGCACUGCCCAGAGGAAGGUCCAUGACUCACACUCCAAGAAUUCCUCAGCUCGCUGGGAGGAGCAGCCAGGGAGAGGAAACUCUCUGCUUGUUUCAUCCCCCG